rfam:Desulfotomaculum ferrireducens strain GSS09, complete genome.
CUGCGGAGCAACGGGUAACAGGAUUGGGCGCAGCUAAGGCGUGGAAGCGGAGGCGCAGACAGGACGUCUGCGCCAGCCCGAACGGGCCAUACCCUAAAGGGCACAAGUGGAAGGCCCGUUGAGGGCGGUCCGCUGGAACCCGCAGCAAGCCCUAAUCCUGUCCGUUGCGGAGCCU